rnacentral:lncRNA from 1 species
CAAGAAUUAAUGGAAAAUAAAGUUGUUGAAGAGAAACAACACAUGAAUAUCCCUCUAAUGACCCCUUAUAAAAUGGGAAACUUUCAUUUAUCACAUAGAGUUGUAUUGGCACCAUUAUCAAGGCAAAGAUCUUAUGGUAAUAUUCCUCAACCACAUGCUAUACUUUAUUACUCACAAAGAAGUACAAAAGGUGGGCUUCUAAUAGGAGAGGCCACAGUUAUUUCUGAGACCGGUAGAAUGUGCAAUGAUACACCUGGUAUAUGGACAAAGGAGCAAGUAGAGGCUUGGAAACCAAUUAUAAAUGAAGUUCAUGCAAAAGGGGGAAUCUUCUUUUCCCAAAUUUGGCAUGCUGGUAGAGUUUCCAGCAAAGGUAAAUGACUUUUCUCCCAUGAUUUUAGAUAUUUUAUCAAAGUCAUAUUUGAUGCUUCUGAGUGAAAUAUAUGUAUCACUAAAAAUGUAACUUUUGUGGAACUUAACUAGAGCUAAUUUCUCAAAUGAUCACUCAACUGACUAUUUUCUAUAGAUUUUGGAAUCAACAAGUACGAUGACUUUUUGAGAUGAUAAUUUUUAGUUGAUAAAACAACCAUUCUUAACUGACUCCUUUUCUAUAAAAUUUGGAAUAGAAAAGAAGAUUGACUUUGUGAGAUGAUAAUUAUUAGUAGUUUAUAAAUCAACCCUUCUUAACUGACUCAUUUCUACAUAUUUUGGAAUCUAGAAAAAAUGUGACUUUCUGAAAUAAUAACCUACUAGUUAGUUGAUGAUUCAACCUUUUUUAACUAACUUCCUUUCUACAGAUUUUCAGCCCAAUGGACAGGAUCCUAUCUCCUGCACAGACAAACUAUUAGCACCUCAAAUUCUUUCCAAUGGCAUAGAUGUUGCACACUUUACACCACCACGACGGUUGACAACAGAUGAAAUUCCUCAAAUUGUUAACGAAUUUCGACUUGCUGCUAGAAAUGCAAUUGAAGCUGGAUUUGAUGGAGUUGAGAUCCACGGUGCUCAUGGCUAUCUAAUCGAUCAAUUUAUGAAAGAUCAAAUCAAUGAUCGAAAUGAUAAAUACGGAGGAUCCUUAGAGAAUCGUUGUAGAUUUGCACUAGAAAUAGUUGAAGCAGUUGCAAAUGAGAUAGGAUCUAACCGAGUUGGUAUAAGGAUUUCCCCAUUUGCAAAUUAUAAUGAAUCAGGAGACACCAACCCCAGUGCUUUGGGACUUUACAUGGUGGAAUCGUUGAACAAGUAUGAUAUCGCGUAUUGCCACGUAGUUGAGCCUAGGAUGAAAACAGCUUGCGAAAAAAUUGAAUGUGGUGAAAGCCUUGUACAUUUGAGGAAGGCAUAUAAAGGUACUUUUAUAGUAGCUGGUGGUUACGAGAGAGAAGAUGGAAACAGAGUUGUGGUUGAAGAUGGAGCUGAUCUUGUUGCAUAUGGACGUUUAUUCAUAUCUAAUCCAGAUUUACCAAAGCGAUUUGAGCUAAAUGCUCCUCUUAACAAGUAUAAUAGAGAGACAUUUUAUACGUCAGAUCCUAUUGUUGGCUAUACUGAUUAUCCAAUUCUAGAAACUAUGACAUGAUUGGAUUCCUUGGUAACUAAUGAUCAGAAACUAUAUUGUAAUGAAUCUAUCAAGUUUUAUUGAAGAAAUAUAAUUUCAGUUUCUUUUCAUUAUGCCUCAAGUUAAAAUAUGGUUAUCAACUGUCUUUGAAGAUAUUUGCGAAUUCGUAAAAUUUCAAAUUCUACAUAUGUAGGUUCAUUUGUGAAAUUUAAAUGUUAAUUUACUUCCCCUAUCUUAUAAUUUACUUUCUUAACGAAUUAAAAUGUGAAUUUUAAUCAUAUAUCUUUAAACAUUUGGAGUUCAAAUAGUGGAUUUUGAUGGGAAAUUCAAAUUAUGGUUGGAAGCAGGGAAGAUCAAGGCUCACUCACCCUUGUUGUAGUUGUUGUAAAUUUUGAUUUUGAUGAUUGACAAAUCAGAUGAACAGAUCUGAUAUCUCCAAUGCUUUCACAUAAAGUCAAAUAUUACCGUUGUAAUUUGUAAAGCAUAUCAUUUUGCACAUUUGCGGUGGGGCAGUGUUCACUAGGUUCUUAUGUAUUACAGUAUUUAUUUUAGAGUCUGUAUCAACUAGAGGUAGUUAGUUGGUUAAAGAACGUGGGCAAUAGAGUUUUUGCAAAAAGUCUUGUAAUAGAGUAGAUACUAAGGUAAAAGUCUUACAAAAGAAUUAUCUCAAUUUAUUUAUUUUUAAGUAAAAUGAUUAUUUGUUUCAAUUAUAUAUUUCUGUUUUGGGGAAUCCAAAUCUAAAUAACUUAGUUAAUUCUAUUUAUUUUAGCUAAAUAAAAGAAAGAUUUAACCAAAGUAAUGAAACUCAAGUAAUGUAUUUUUAUAAAAAGAAAAAAUUAGUGUGUUUUUUUAUAAUGCACUAUUUAUUUCAACUAUGCAUUAUUCUUCUUCGGAUCAAAUUGUAAAAUAUUUGUUUGAAAAUUUAUUUUUUCUUUGUAUCUUUUUUAGAUACAAUGAUUAUUUGUUCUAAGCGUGUAUUUCUUCUUUUCCUGGCAAAUAUGUAAAAAGAACUUAAUUAGAAUAACAUUAUCUUUUAGUCAAAUAUAAAAAUAUAAUCAAAAUAUUUAUUCUAGACUUUUUAUAAUAAAUUUAGCCAGAAAAAAACUGAUUGAGAAGGUAAAAAUAUUUAUUUAUUCUUUAAAGACGUCACAUGAAUAAAGUAUCUGCAAAACAGCACAUGUAACACAUUUUCGUUAGCUGCCAGCAUUUAAAGGGGAUCAUAUACACUUUGAGCAAAGCAAUCAAUACUUGUGACAUCGGAUUCCAAUCAACUUAUUUGUUCUAAUUUAUUUCUUUUUCUAGCAUUUUACAUCCACAUUAAUGUAUCUUUUUUUAAAAAAAAAAAAUUGGACCAUUUUAUUAACGGAGAAGGGCCUAAAAUGCCCCUCAAGUAUUUAAAUUGGUACAAAAAUACCCUUCAUCCACCUAUCCGUCCUAAAAUAUCCCUGACGUCCACCUUUUGGUCCUAAAAUAAUUUAAUGAUAUCUUCCUAUUGACUUAUUUUAAAUCAACCCCAAUUCAUUAUAACGUAACUCAACUCAUAAAUGGGAAUCCAACUAAAAUCCAUACUUACUGCGACUGAUUGUCCAUCUAAAAAUAUUAUUAUUUUCAUUUAUAUAAAAUUUCUCUCAAUUAUCCAAAUGUCUUGUUCAUUUUCUAUUUUAUUCCUUUUUUAAUCUCUUAUUUUUAAUUAGGAUAUCUGGGACUCAAACUUGAAAUGAACUCACAUAUUUAUAUUCUUUUAAUUAGUAUUAUUGUCAGAUGGGAUGAGUGUGGGGAUACAAGAAAUGAUUAUUUUUAUUCUUUUAUUUUUAAUUUUGGGUACACAUAAAAAAAUGUAAUAUUUCUACAUAUUUUCUUGAUUAAGUCAUCUUUUAUUGAACUAAUUAUUUCUAUAUGAAUGCAUCAUUAUUUCCUCCCUUUUUUUCUCUCUUGUUUGUCAUAAAUUAAAAAAAAUUGUGGACAAGAUCCAAAUAGAAAAAAAAAAAAAAGAAAAAAGGAAGAGAUAGGAUGUGAAGGGUCGGGGAGAGAGUAGUUUAGAGAGUAGAUGCCUAACCUUUUUAUAAUUUUAAAUUACUAUGAAAUUCAAAAUCAAGUCGAUCAUGUGAGCUUAUAUAUUAAGUAAUUUCAAAUUAUUUUAACGUAAAAGGGCCUAAAAUGCCCUUAAACUAUGAGAUUCGGUACAGUAUUACCCUCCAUCCACCUAAUGAGAGUGAUCCGUUAGACAUAAGGGUAUUUUUGAGCCGAAAGGUGGACGUCAGGGGUAUUUUAGGGCAGAUAGGUGAAUGGAGGGUAAUUUUGUACCAAUUCAAAUACUUGAAGGACAUUUUAGGCCCUUCUUUGUUUUAUUAAUAAAGAAAGUUUGCAAACUCAAAACAAAUAAACAUAAGAAAUACAAGAGGUCAUCCCACAAUAAAAAAGUGAGGUUUCCUAAAAAGUGCUCAGCUUCUUCUUUGUUUCUCAGGUUGUCUCUGCCGCUCAAAAUGCUCGAGAGUUUCAAUCUCCGACUGAUCAACAUCCUUCGCAAUGGAGACUGCCUAACUGUCCUGCUCAGCUUGUAAAAAUACAUUUCUGACCCGUGGAUUCAAUGUAAAUACCCCUUUAAGCUUGCCACAAACUUUAUUGUAGUUAUCAUAGUUGUGUAACUCUAUGUCUGUUUCUUUGCUUUCCAUGUUAAUGACUGUUAGUAAUGCUGAUUCUCCUUGUCCUUAUUCAAAUUGCUGAUAUUUGUUGUUUAUCCAUGUUUAAAACCCCUCUUGCUUUCCUCGGUAGCUGAUAGAACAACUGAUACUGUAAUUUACCUUCUUGAUCUAUUGUUGUGUUUGUGAUGUCCCUUUAUAUGUGUGUUAUCUGGGUAUUACUCUCAUGAAUCUCCUCUACUCUUUCAAUUAUUUCCCACGGUAUUUUCCAUUCCCCUCUAAUCAUUAUUUUUAAGACUUAAUGAGUCAGUCUCUAGAAAUAUGUUAGCAUAACUCUAUUCUUUACAGUAUCUCAGAGCUUUCUAGAUUGUUGUUACCUCAGCCACUAAGUUAGUGGCAAAUCCUAUUCUUUUGCUUUCUGCAUACAGUAGAUCCCCGCUACUAUCCCUCAAACAAAAGCCAUAAGAAUUCAUCCCUGGGUUACUUCUACUUGCUUCAUCUGUAUUACAUUUUAUCCAACCCUCAUUUGGCCUUGUCCACCGCACAAUGUGAUAAAAUAGCGUGGGUUUGCAUAUUUGUAGUAAAUCAAACAUCUCACUCCAUUGAAGAGGAAUGUUUUUGAGCCAUUGAUAUUUGGCUUUUAUCAGCUGAUGAACUAUCAUUUGACAUUGACUGAACAUUUUAUCAAACGAUGCCUUCUUGUCAUGUUUGAUUGAGUUUCUCAUUUUCCAUAGUUCCCACGUGAUAAUCGCUGGAAUGGCCUUCAUGAUUUGUUGCAAUUUUGGGUUUCCUUCAUAUUCCCACCAUUUAAAAAAUGAAUGGUGUAGUUGAAUCCCAUCAAUAUCCAAACAUGCACAAGAAGUGGACUGCUUCCAUAGCCUUUGAGCUAUGGGAGCGGUUAGCAAUAAAUGAGCCAUGGUUUCCAAUUCCCCCUUCUCACAGCAGUAACAUUUAGAUAUUAUAUGCAUCCUCAUUCUUCUCAACUUAUCAUCUGUUACAAUUCUUUUCUUCCACACCCUUCAUAGAAAGAAAGAAAAUUUAAAUGGUAAACCUUUAAUCCAAAUGCAAUUCAUCCAGUCAGUUGUUUCUCUCUUGGUCCUUAGCAUGUGAUAAGCUGAUUUGGCUGAAAAAACUUCUGUUGAAUUUCCUAUCCACCACGGCUUAUCAUUCAGAGCAUAGAUGUUAGACUUGAUGUUUUUAACUAUGUGAGAUAUCAUUUCCUCUGAAAUAUGUUCAUGCAAUUUUUCUAUUUUCCAACUUCCAUUUCUAAUGAGCUCUUUUACCUCUAAUUCCUCCUCCCCCGCACUUUCUCCUUCUGGGAAAAAUAACGCCCCUUGUUUUGUCCAAUUAUCGUACCAGAAACUUGAAUUCCCUGCUUUAACUUGCCACCAAAUUUCAUGCUCCACCUCUUCCCUUACUAAUAAUUUCCUCCACACAUGAGAUGUUGCAGAAUUCCUAACAACUGUAGGGUGUAAUUUCUUACAAUACUUAUUGCGCAUAUAGUUACUCCAUAAUGAAGAAAUGGACACCUUGAACCUCCACCAUAGUUUGACAAACAUAGCAUUAUUAACAUCAUGGAGAGAUCGAAUCCCAAACCCUCUUCUGCCUUAGGGUAACACAUGUCAUUCCAAGCUACCCAAUGUUUUCCUUUUAUACUUCCUGUAUUUCCCCAAAAGAAUUUUGCAAAGAUCUGAUGUAUCUGUUCAAUAAUUUUCUUGGGGGGAUUCAUAGCAGGUAAAAGAUAAAGUGGUAGCGAUUGAAGAACAUGGCUAAUAAAUAUGUACUUACUUCUAAAGGAUAGAAAUUUAUUCUGCCCAGACAAAAUUCUUUGAGCCACCUUCCUCACCAAGUCUUCGAAGUAACUAUUGAUCUUUCUUCCAUAAAACACAGGGCAUCCCAAAUAAGUGAAAGGGAAAUUACCUUGUCUUAUCCCAGUGAGUUUUCUCAUUCUGAUUGCCACUAUCAAGGGGGCCUUGUCAUAGAGAUAGAAAGCACUCUUAGCCUUAUUGAUCAUUUGACCAGAUACUUCUUCAUAAUUUCUUAUCAUUGUCAUCAUCUUAAUGACUGAAGGUCUAUCCCCUGAACAAAAUAAUAUUGUAUCAUCUGCAUAUGACAGAUGGUUUAUAGUUGGACUCCAUUUUGGUAGACCAUACCCUUUAUAAUCGUUAUCACUGUGUAAGUUGUCUAAACCUCUGGCCAAAACUUUUGCCACAAUGAUAAAUAGUGUUAGGGACAAAGGAUAUCCUUGUUUAAGACCUUUAGAAGACUAAAAGAAACUAUUAAGCUGGCCAUUAAUGAGGAUUGAAUACCAAUUACUCGAGAUGAGUCUUCAUACCAUAUUAAUAAUUACCUCCGAAAAACUAAACUUUCGCAGCACCUUCGUUAGGAAAAUCCAGGACACUCUAUUAUACGUCUUAGCCAUAUCUAACUUCACAACCACAUUAAUAUGUUGAUUUCUCAGGUGAAUAUCCCUAAUUAUUUCUUGUGCCAACAAUACAUUUUCAGUUAUGCUCCUUCCUUUAACGAAACCUGAUUGGGUGGGAGAUAUAAUCUUAGGUAACACCUCCGUUAUUCUAUCAUGCACCAAUCUCGAUAUAAUCUUGUUUAUAAAAGAGCUCAAACUAAUUGGCCUCAUGUCUGAAAAAUUGUUAACAUCCUCAUUCUUUGAUAAUAAAAUCAUAUUGGUGUGAGUAAUAAGAUUUGGCAGCGUUUUCCCACAAAAAAAUGCAAUCACUAAUCUGGUGAUAUCAGCUCCUACAAUUUCCCAGCAGGACUGAAAGAACAAGCCGGAAAAACCAUCUGGUCCACUCACACUCUCUCCAUUAAGCUCAAACACCACCCUUUUUAUCUCCUUUUGUGUAGGAAGCUUUAUCAUUUUUUCAUUUUCCUCUUCUGUGAUCAACUUAGGCAUAUGUUUCAGCAUUGAGUAAUCUUGAGAUGUCUCAUCUGCCUUAAAUUGCUCUGAAAAGUAAUAGACUACUGCUUGCCCUAUUUGCUGGUUUGUUUUCACCAUCACCCCGUGCUCAAUUACAUAUCUCUGCUAAAUGUAACUUUUUCCUUCUUCCUUUAAUAUAAGAAUGGAAGAAUUUAGUGUUUCUAUCUUCAUCCACAAACCAUUUCAUUCCCCCCUUUUGCUUCUAAUAUUCUUCUUCAAUCUUGAGGUAUUUUCUCAAUUCUCCCUCCAUUCUACUCAGCUCCGCCCUAUUUUCUACUGUAGAAAAAAUCUCCAAUUGAGUCUCCUUAACCUUGAUCAUAUCCUCAACAGUAGCAAUUUGUUGGAAAAUGUUACCAAAGACAUCCCUACUCCAUUAGCUAAAGCUCUUUUUACCCUUUUCAGCUUAGCAUGAACCUUCAAAAAAGGGCUACCAGUAAACUCAAUCCUCUAGUGUUGUUGUACUACUUCCUUGAAUUGAUGGUGUUUAGUCCAAAAAUUCAAAAAACGAAAAGGUUUCACCAAUGGUUCCUCUUCUGUAUCACAAAUCAAAUGAAGAGGAGCAUGAUCUGAUCCCUGUCUAAUUAAAUGAUGAACUUCACUAGAUGGGAAUUCAUCUGUGAACAAAGCAUUCAGUAAAAUUCUAUUCAAUCUCUUGAAUAUACAAGUUUCCUCUAUUCGUCCAUUCCAUCAAGUAUAUUUACUCCCUGAAAAUUUCACCUCAGUCAACGCACAAUUGCUAAUACAAAGAGCAAAAUCAGUAGCCUCCUAUUGAGUGAAUUCAAGGCCUCCCAAUUUCUCUUCCUUAUUAAUAACUACAUUAAAAUCACCCCAACCAUCUAAGGUAUCCGCCAAUCUUCUGCGAUACCUUUUAAUUCCUCCCAUAAUUCUAAUCUAUCCAACACAUUACACCUAGCAUAUACUGAUGAAAUAAUGAAAGACCUAUUGUUUUUACAAAAUUUCAUAGAUAUGUGUUGUAUAGAAUCCAUAAGCAAAGUACCCUCCCAAUCAUCCCUCCAAAAGAUUCAAUUUUUCCCGAAACAGUUAGCUAGGGCAUUAUCAAAACCUAACUUUCUUUUGUAUUGGUCUAACUCUAAUGGAUCCUGAAAAGGUUCCAUUAAAGCUACAAAUGAAUAGUGAUGUCUACUAUUAAGAUCCAUCAAUCUCCCAAAAGAAUUUUGAGUGUUAACGAAUCUAAUAUUCCAAAAAAUAGCCUUUUCAAUCAUUUAUCACUAUUGGAAUAUUUGUCCUUGCUACUCCUUGUUUUGACUUGAAGCGGAAUGGUGGGUUUUUCUCUUUUUGCCUUCAAACUAUUCAUGUGCCUUGGAGAUAAGUCCCCUGCUAUACUGAUCUGCUGGAUAUUAUAAUCCAUUUAGUCAUCUUCUUCUGAUACUUUUCUAUGUUGUAUUUCUUCCUCUGAUUCGUCAAUUAGGUUUGGAGCUUCUUUUCGUUGUACCUCUGGAUAAUUUUUCUUCAUCAUUUCAUCACUUCUUAUUACAAUAUUAUCCUGUUGGUGUUCCUUCUCAUGCAUACUACCGCCGUCAACAGUAAGGGGAGUAUUCACUCCCAUGUUGCUAGAUAUUUCCUCAGAUCCUCCAUUCUUUAACAAUAUAUACAAAUUUUCUGCCCAUAUGUUAAUGUGAUUGCCUUAUGCCCCUGGUGAUGUUCUUUUUUUUGUUUUCCAAAGGAACUUUCGACCCAUUCUUUGGAUGAUUCUUUCACUACGUGUUCACUUUGCCUGUCUGAUGCUUGGCCUUCUCCUCCUUUAGAGCUCUCCAUCAUUUAACCUUCCUUUUCAUCUUUCUUUAAAGCUUCAAAUUUGUUUCCGGUUGGUAUUUCCACCUUGGCCCAAACUCUAUUUGGCUGCUUUGUCCACCCUCCCUUUUUAGUUUUUGGUUCGUCAAAAUUUUUGAUCUUCUCCAUUUGUUGAGGUGCAUUCCUUUCUUCCAUCCUAUCACUGUCUUUUUCUCGAUUAUAUUUGUUCUCCUUUUCCUCUUUCGCAUCUGCUUCCAUAUUAUUCUUCUCCUUCUUUGGAUACAAUUCUGGAUGUUCCAUGUAACAUUGUUGCUCAUCAUGUCCUUGUAUCAUGCAUGUCUUACAGUAUUUUGGAACGUAGUCAUACUUUAUUCUCACCCACUUCUCCAUUAUCUCCCCAUUAGUUUUCUUCAUGCCUAUUUUGAUUCUUUUGGGAAAUUCUCCGAGCAAAUCCACCUCCAUUUUGACUCUAGCACAACUGGGUCUUGUUUGGUUCCUUGUCGCCAUGUCAACCUGUAAAGGUUUACCCACUGUCGCUGCCAAUGAGAACAUCGUUUCUCUACCAAAAAAAAUUUGAUGAGAGAAAUGGAAAGGAUAUCCAAGCAAUGGCUAUAGUCGUCUCUUCUUCGGGAUCAAACAUUGGAUCCCACUUCAAUGUUCUCAUAGGGAAAGAGCAACUCCUUUGUGCAAUGUAGAAAGCUGGUUUGGACAGUAAGUGCACAUAGUCCUCCAUUAAAGUUGCUCGAAUGAGGACAUGCCUAUUGCUAAGCAGCCCAAUUUUGCAUUCCCCCUUGAGCUCACACUGUUUUGGAAUCAGUUUCCUCAAAUCUUGAAUAUCCGGCCAUUCAAAUGAAAAUUUUCCAACUACAACAUAUUCCAAAUUUUCAUUAAUUAUCAUCUGCUUUAUUUCCUCCUGCUCCCAUAGUAUUGUAGGUUCCCCAUGUAGGUAUGAUAUUUGCUUCAACGAUAUUGGUUUAGUAUCGAGUGAUAUUGGUUUUAGUUUGUCCGCAUACGAAAUAAAGGGAUUUGAGAGUAAAGCGGGUUGACCAACCUCAGUGGGAGGUUAGCCACCGGCUGUAGUGGCCAUUACCACCGGAAAAUAUUGAAAAGUAUGAUCUUCCUAGAAUUAUUAGUCGUGUUUUAUUCAACUUUGGGAGUUAAUUUUCGUUCAUAGGAAAAUUAGUCCCUAAUCAGUGAUCCACAUUAAUGUAUCACUCAUUCAUUACCACAAAAUGCCAUAUCAUAUCUUUUAAAGAGAGAAUAAUUGAAAACUCAGCGAUGAAUUAUUAGUUUCAUUUUUAAAUUAUUGUCAAAUUUAAAAACAUCUUUUAACUUGACUAAUUAUAUUUAAAUACACUUUCGAUCUUGCAAUAUGAGUUAAAUACACUCUUAAAUUCUUGUAAAGUUUAAAGUUACUUUCAACACUUCUCUCGAUAUUUUAUGAAGAGUCUCGUGCUUUUAAAAAUGUUUGAGACCACUCGCGCUAUGUCAUGUUACACAUAUCUAAGUUUAGUUAGUCAAGUUUAGAGGUGUUUUCAAUACUUUUUUUUUUAAUUUACGCAUAUUUGAUUGGUCAAAAUAUUUGAAAAAUAAUUUUUUUUCAGGAAAAUAAGCUACUCAUUGGAAGUGACUUCCCUAGUAAAAGUAACGAAAAUAAAUUUUAUAAGUGAUAAUUUAAGUUCAUCGUCUCCUUCCCACUCACACAACAUUCCUAAUCUCAAGCUAGCAGUGUCUAGUAUUCACCAAAUUUAUCCUUAGUUAUAAACCUAUCCAUAAUCAUUAGAAGCUGAUUACAACAAGAAAGUUUACACCACUAACAAAAGCAAGAAUUAAUGGAAAAUAAAGUUGUUGAAGAGAAACAACACAUGAAUAUCCCUCUAAUGAUCCCUUAUAAAAUGGGAAACUUUCAUUUAUCACAUAGAGUUGUAUUGGCACCAUUAUCAAGGUAAAGAUCUUAUGGCAAUGUUCCUCAACCACAUGCAAUACUUUAUUACUCACAAAGAACUACAAAAGGUGGCAUUCUAAUAGGAAAGGCCACAGUAAUUUUUGAAACUGGCAUAGGGUAUAAAGAUAUACCUGGUUUAUGGACAAAGGAGCAAGUAGAGGCUUGGAAACCAAUUGUAAAUGAAGUUCAUGCGAAAGGAGGAAUUUUAUUUUCCCAAAUUUGGCAUGUUGGUAGAGUUUCCAGCAAAGGUAAAUGAUUUUAGACAUUUUUUGUCAAGUCAUAUUUGAUGCUUUUGAGUGAAAUAUAUGUAUUACUAAAAAUGUAAAUUUUGUGGAAAUUAACUAGAGCUAAUUUCUCAAAUGAUCACUCAACUACUCCUUUCUAUAGAUUUUGGAAUCGACAAGUAGGGUGACUUUUUGAGAUGAUAAUUUUUAGUUGAUAAAACAACCAUUCUUAACUGACUCUUUUUCUAUAGAUUUUGGAAUCGAAAAGAUCAAGAUUGACUUUGUGAGAUGAUAAUUAUUAGUAGCUGAUAAAUCAACCCUUCUUAACGGACUCAUUUCUACAUAUUUUGAAAUCGAGAAAAAAUGUGACUUUCUAAUGAAAUAAUAACUACUAGUUGAUAAAUCAACCUUUCUUAACUAACUUCCUUUCUACAGAUUUUCAGCCCAAGUGCUUUGGGACUUUACAUGGUGGAAUCGUUGAAUAAGUAUGAUAUCGCGUAUUGCCACGUAGUUGAGCCUAGGAUGAAAACAGCUUGCGAAAAAAUUGAAUGUUCUGAAUGCCUUAUACCUUUGAGGAAGGCAUAUAAAGGUAUUUUUAUAGUAGCUGGUGGUUAUGAUAGAGAAGAUGGAAACAGAGUUGUGGUUGAAGAUCGAGCUGAUCUUGUUGCGUUUAUUCAUAUCUAAUCCAGAUUUACCAAAGCGAUUUGAGCUAAAUGCUCCUCUUAACAAGUAUAAUAGAGUGACAUUUUAUACGCUAGAUCCUGUUGUUGGCCAUACUGAUUAUCCAACUCUAGAAACCAUGACAUGAUUGGAUUCCUUGGUAACUAAUUAUCAGAAACAACAUUGUAAUGAAUCUAUCAAGUUUUAUUGAAGAAAUAUAAUUUCAGUUUCUUUUCGUUAAGCCUCAAGUAUGGUUGUCACCCAUCUUUGAAAAUACUUACUAUCAUGAAAUUUCAAAUUUGAGGACAUUGUAGAGGGGUUCAAUUGUGAAUAUAAAAUUUCAUGACAAUGAUUAUUUUUUCGAUUGUAUAGAUUGAAAUUGUUGAAGCCAAUUUUGGUGAAGAUUUGUGUUACACACUUGAACACAAAUCAAUUGAAAUGAAAUAUGAUGAACCCUUGUCUACAUACAACCUCAAAGAUGGCUCAAUUAUUAAAGUAACAUGGUAUGUUGAUUCACCUUAGUUAAAUUUGGAUUAUAAAGGCUUCUACAAAUACUGUAUAGUGAUACUACAUUUAAGUUAAGUAUUUUUUAAAAGUUUAUGAAGUAAGUCCAAGAAUAUGAUCAUGUAUGGAUGAACAUCUUUAUUAUUAUCCUUAGUAACUAGCGAUUGGAAACAUCAUUGUAAUGAACCUAUCAAGUUCUAUUGAUUUCUUUUUGUUAAGCCUCAAGUAAAAAUACAGUUAUCACAUGUCUUUAAAAAUAUUUGCUAUCGUGAAAUUUCAAAUUCUACAUGUAAAGUUUCAAGACAUUAAUGUCAAGGGGGGUUCACUUGUGAAAUUUAAAUGUUAAUUUACUUUCUCUAUCUUAUAAUUCACUUUCUUAACCAAUUAAAUGUGAAUUUUGAUGGGGAAAUUUCAAAUUAUGGUUGGAAUCAAGGAAGAUAAAUGCUCACUCACCCUUAACGUAACUGUUGUAAAUUUUGAUUUUGAUGAUUGAUCGAUCAGAUGAACGGAUUUGAUAUCUCCAAUGAUUUCACGCAAAGUCAAAUAUUACAGUUGUAAAGCAUAUCAUUUUGCACAGUGGGGUAGGGUGGUAGGGCAGUCUAGCAAUAGGACCACGAUGUCUUUUUUCCUUCUUGACCAAUGAAAAGAGUUUAAGGGUUUAAAGAGUAUUUAAUACCAUUUGCAUAUGACUUCCAAUUUUCAUAAUCAUUAAUUCAUUAGGUAGUCAUUUGGAAAUAGCGCGUGUGGCACAUUUUUAUUGAUUGUUAGCGUUUAGAGAGAUUGUGACUAUUAAACUAACAAAUCAAAAGGGAUAAUUAAGCAAAAUUUAAAUUUGCACCACAAAAAAUUUAAAUUUUAAAUUUGGAUAAAAUUUGCCAAAUUCAAGGGACUUCGAUUUAUUUCACCAAAAUUUUUGGGUAAAGGGUCUGAAAAAUACUUCAAUUUUGGUCGAAAUUGUUGUUACGAUACCAAAUUUUAUGGAGGACCUUUUACCCCCUACACUAUUUAAUAGUGUAUUUUAAAGGUAUAUAUGUGUCCACGUGGACACAUUACUAUUUAAAAUGGUGCAAUAUUUAUGAUGUCCACAUAGACACAUAUAUACCUUUAAAAUACAGUAUUAAAUAGUACAUGGGGGGUAAAGGUCAUUUUUAAAGUUUGGUAUCGAACAACAAUUUUGGCCAAAGUUAAAAUAUUUUUCAGAUCAUUUUCCCAAAAAAAUUAUAUAGUUAUUCACCGAUAACGAUAGGCGAUAAGUAUUACUACUAUUCAUAGCAAAACAACAAAAGAGAAGACUUCAAAAAUAUAAACUUUGCUUCUUAUAUUUGAGUUCCUCUCUUGUCAUCUAGUGAGAAAUAAUACUCUCCGUCUCAUAUUAGAUUGGGUAUCUUAUUAAAAAUAUUUGUCUCAUAUUAUCUGAUCAUUUAUUAAAUUAGGAUAUAAUUAAUUAUUAUUUUCUCAUUUUCCUGCUAUAAUUAAUUUGACCUUUGGAGGUCUAAACAAAUUUUAAAGAUCUAAAAUUUCUUUUUCCAAGAGGCUAAUCAAUAUAAACGAAGAGCAAAAUAGUAAAUUGAUCAAUUUAUUAAUAAUUUCUUAAUUAUCGUGUAAAAUAGAAAAUAUCAAUCUAAUACCGGACAAAAGGAGCAGUGAAAAACAAACUAUUAUAAUUAUUAUUGUGACAUCGAAUCCAAUGAAGCUAUUUCCUCUAAUUUAUUUCUAGCAUUUUACGUCCACAUUAUUGUAGAACUCAUUCAUUACCACAAAAUACAUUAUCAUCUUUCCUAUCAAAUAAAUAAAGACACAUAAUGGAAAAUUUCAGAAAAUAUUUAUAUUUAGAAAAAAUAAUUAGCUCCUAAUUACAAAAAUAAGGAAAGUAGCUUUUUAAAUAAAUUUAAGAGAAAUAAGUUUUAUAAUUAACAGUUCAAAUUUAUUGUCUCCUCUCCACCCACCUAUAUAUCCUCCCUAAUCCCAGCUAGCACAGGUACCACACCUUGUAUGUAUUAUUCAUUGGCACGAAUACCACGCCUGAUAUGACAUAUCAUCAAUUGGCUCGAGUACCACACUUGAUACAAGUUGUCAUUUGGUUGGAUUGUGUCCAUUAUUCACCAAUUUCACCUUUGUUAUAAAUAUAUCCAUAAUCAUUACCAACUCAUUAACAAGAAAGCUUACACCACUAGCAAGAAUUAAUGGAAAAUAAAGUUGUUGAAGAGAAACAAUACAUGAAUAUCCCUCUAAUGACCCCUCUAACCCGAGUGCUUUGGGACUUUACAUGAUGGAAUCGUUGAAUAAGUAUGAUAUCGCGUAUUGCCACGUAGUUGAGCCUAGGAUGAAAACAGCUUGCGAAAAAAUUGAAUGUUCUGAAAGCCUUGUAUAAUAGAGAGACAUUUUAUACGUAUCUAAUCCAGAUUUACCAAAGCGAUUUGAGCUAAAUGCUCCUCUUAACAAGUAUAAUAGAGAGACAUUUUAUACGUCAGAUCCUGUUAUUGGCUAUACUGAUUAUCCAAUUCUAGAAACCACGACAUGAUUGGAUAUCCUUGGUAACUAGUGAUCAGAAACAACAUUGUAAUGUAUCUAUCAAGUUCUAUUGAAGAAAUAUAAUUUCAGUUUCUUUUUGUUAAGCCUUUAGUAUGGUUGUCACCCGCUUUAAAAAUACUAAUUACUAUCAUGAAAUUUCAAAUUUGAGGACAUUGUUGAGGGGUUAUGACUAUCUUUUAUAUGGUAUAGAUUGAAAAAUACUAAUGUGCUUCGUGAAAAUUGGGCCCUCCCUCUAACAGUUAGCCCAUGACCUUCUAUUUUAGUUCAAUGAAAAUAUUGUUAGAUGUUAGGUGGUGUUAUGUAAUAUAUUUGUGGUAAUAAAAAGUUAUAUCAGAAAAAUAUCACAAAUCUUUUAUAAAGAAAUGAAGAUUUGAAUGAUGAGAAUGUUUGGUGAGUAAGAGGAGAAUGGUAGAGUAGCAGACACAUUAUCCAAUGAGUUUUGAAAUGUGCGUCAUUACUUUUAAAGAUUCUUUUAUUUUAGCCGACAUGGUGGGUUAUUAUUUUUAAGUGAAGAGUUGAAUAAUGUGAAUGUUUGGUGGUUAAGAGGAGAAGGGUAGAGCAGCAGACACAUCAUCCAUCGAGUUUUGAACAGUCCGUUAUUGACUUUCAAAGAUUUUUUUUUAGGUGACAUGAUGGGUUAUUAUUUUUAAGAAUUUUCCUCCUCACCUUUUUAUAGUAUUUUUUGUGAUCUACAUACAAGCUAAUUAGACGAAUAUUCUUAUCAUAUUUACUAAAUCCCUAUAUACUUUAAAAUAAUUGCAUAUCCCUCUCCUCCUCUUUCUCUCGCUUACUCUCUCCAUCCUUUUUUGUUCAAUUAUAGUGUGUAUUUAUGCAUAGUUUACUUUGAUACUAGAUUCAUGUAUCUUUACACAAAUACAUUGUAUAUCAAUACAUAUGUUUGAUAUCAUAUAUACAUGUAUUUGAAUCAUAUACAUGUAUUUAUGUACAAAUACAUUUAUUAUUAGAUAUCAAAUUUAUUGAUAAAAUUGAUACCAGAUACAUGCGAGGAUGAAACUAAUAUCAAAUAUGCUGAAUGAAUAUAAUGUAUGUUUGGAUAAAAUGCACUUGAAGAUACAUAUAUUUGAAUCAAUAUUUUUUGAUAGAAAAUAUAAUAAAAAAAACUAGUAUUUCAACAAGUAAUUAUCACGAGUAAUAGUGUGAUUUGUGUUGUUUCAACUACUUUUAUACCCUUAGAGAAAUAAUAAGAUUGAAAAGUCAAUUAUACAUCGUUAAUUUAUCCUUUUAUAUGUUACUUCAAAAAUUGAACCACCAUAAGUCAAUACUUGUCCGAUUCAAUCAAGCUAUUUGCUCUAAUUUAUUUCUAUCAAACAUUUUACGUCCACAUUAUUUUCCACUCUUAUUCAUUACCAUAAAUACCUUAUCAUCUUUUCUGUAUAAAAUAGAGACGUUUGUGUGUUUGGUACGCAAAAUAUUUUCGAGAAUUAUAUUUUUCAAUUUUCGCAUGUCUGGUUACUUAAAUUAUUUUCUCUAUGAAAAUAAAUUCCUCACAAAUAAGAAAAAUAAUUUCCCUAUUAAAGUAAAAAAAAAAAAAACAAAUAAGUUUAUAAGUGACAAUUCAAGUUUAUUGUCUUCUCCAUACCAGUGUUGAACCCUCACUGUCCACCCCAUCCUGGUUACAAAUUCAUUGAGAUAAUAUAUAUAUUUUUUACUUUAUAUUUUGAUAUUCCUUAAUAAAAAUUCUGGUUCCGCCAUAAUUCAUAUGGUGGAUGGAGAAAGAAAAAAGUAGUCUCUUAUACACCAAUUCCUCCUUUGUUAUCUAUAAAUAUAUCCAUAAUCAUUUUAAAGAUUAUACUAUGACCAAAAAAAUGGAAAAUAAAGUUGUUGAAGAGAAAAAAGUAGGCAUGAUCCCUCUUAUGACCCCUUAUAAGAUGGGAAACUUUGAGUUAUGUCAUAGAGUUGUAUUGGCACCAUUAUCAAGGCAAAGAUCUUAUGGCAACACUCCUCAACCACAUGCUAUACUUUACUACUCACAAAGAACUACAAAAGGUGGUCUUCUAAUAGGAGAGGCCACAGUAAUUUCUGAGACUGGUAGAGGGUGCAAUGAUACACCUGGUAUAUGGACAAAGAAGCAAGUAGAGGCUUGGAAACCAAUUGUAAAUGCAAUUCAUGCUAAAGGAGGAAUCUUCUUUUCCCAAAUUUGGCAUGCUGGUAGAGUUUCCAACAAAGGUAAAUGAUCACAUAAUCACU